AGGACGAACGCUGGCGGCGUGCUUAACACAUGCAAGUCGAGCGGAAAGGCCCUUCGGGGUACUCGAGCGGCGAACGGGUGAGUAACACGUGAGUAAUCUGCCCAUCGCUUCAGGAUAGCCAUCGGAAACGGUGAUUAAUACUGGAUAUGACAUUCCUUCGCAUGUUGGGGUGUGGUAAAGUUUUUUCGGCGGUGGAUGUGCUCGCGGCCUAUCAGCUUGUUGGUGGGGUAAUGGCCUACCAAGGCUUUGACGGGUAGCCGGCCUGAGAGGGUGACCGGCCACA
rnacentral:rRNA from 1 species